UUCCACUUUACAACAAAAAGAAGUCAAUAAACUACAAAAAGUGCACAAUAAAAUUCAAAAAUAACACACUAAACUAUAUCAGCCCAUUAUUUAAGAUAUUCUUUAAAGCACUUAAGAUAUUCGGGGACACCCUUCACUCCAUAAACGACAUUGUCUUCCAAAUCCCUCAAGAAUCUGUUGUUCUCAUUCAUUGUCCCACUUCUCCUUCAGGUCGCGAACCCUAGCCCAACUAAUUUGGGGAUUUUUGUCUGAUAACCAACACGAAUAAAUAACUGGU
rnacentral:lncRNA from 1 species